CGGCCUCCUCCCGGGUCAGAUCCUGGCCAUCUCCCCCGCCGGAAACGGGAACAGCGGUGGCGGAGGGACACCGAGCACCAGGGCCGGCCGGGAGACGCGCCACGAUAAUCCGGGUCGGGACUCGGGUCCCUGGGUUCCAGGUCACAGUGGGGUACGCAGCGGCCUCCGGGCCCGAGGGAAGCAGGGAAUCCGGGCGGAGGAGCUCCCGAUCGUGCUCGUCUUCCUAGCCUCGGCAGCAAAAACACCAGAUGCGCCGGGCGCUGACCUGCGGGGGAGUCCGGAGUCCUCCAAGUGCCCCCGGGGGUGGAGAAGAGCGACCUCGGCCGCGCUCUCGGCUCGGGCAGCGCAACGCGGAAGUACCACCUUCGUCUCCGCUUCACUCCAUCGGGCCCUGACGUUGGGUGCGAGUUCAGGGGAGGGGAGUGGGCGAGACAACAACACGCCUCCGCCGCCUCCUUCUCCUCGUCGACGUUGUCCUCCAGUAGUGGCGGCGACACACGGCGGGCGCCUCAGAAGUGGCCUGGGCCUGACAACAACUCCCGGCCUAGGGCCUCGCGCACUCUGCGGCCCUCAGGGACGGGCGGCGGGGCGGGGCGAGGCGGGGGCGACCGGGCUGCGGCUCACGGCUGGGGCAGCGAGUGUGCGGGGCUGGGCGGGGGGCUGUUUCCGGGGAGAUGGGGGCGGGGGGGGCGUUUCUGAGUCUGUGGGGGUGGGUAUGGGCCCUGACUUUCUUCUUCCUUCGGCGCGGCGAGCAGAGGUGGCGGUGCUGCCCCUUUCCUCCGCUCCCCCCCCCCUCCACGAGGAGGCUCCUGGUGUGCGCGGCCGGCCCGGCUCGCUCCUCCCCUUCCCUCUCGGCUCCUCGUCAUGAGGAGGGAGGGAGAUGGGACUUGCUGGUUGGGCCCUAACCUCCACAACCCCUCCUUCUAGCCUCGCUCUUUCGGCCUUUCCCCUCUUCGGCCCUGACGCAAGGCCGGGGGCGCGCACGCACGUCGCGCUCCGAGAAAGCCCAAGUAUUGCUGCCUGAAGUGCCUACACCCUAAACCAGUUAGCGAGUGGGUUUUUCCAAAAAACUACGAUCAACCUGCCCCAUCAUCCUACUUUGAAAAGCCUGGAGUAACAGAACAAGGAGAGCAAAAUGGAUUUAUCUAGCAGUUCGUCACAUAUGACCAACUCCAGGGGACACGGGUUCGAGCCCUGCUCCGGGAAGAUCCCACAUGCUGCGGAGCAACUAAGCCCGUCUGCCACAACUACUGAGCCUGCGCUCUAGAGCCCGCGAGCCACAACUACUGAAGCCCGCGUGCCACAACUACUGAAGCCCGUACUCCAUAGGAAGAGAAGCCACCGCAGUGAGAAGCCGGUGCACCGCCGCGAAGAGUAGCCCCUGCACGCCGCAGCUAGACAAAGCCCGCACGCAGCAACAAAGACCCAAUGCAGCCAAAAAUAAAUAAAUUAAUUAAGAAGCUACUGUGGAGUUUUGGUGUAGUAUCAAAGAAUACCCACAAUUAUCUGGAAAAGCUAUUAAAAUACUCCCUCGCUUUUCCAACAACAUAUCUUUUUCAUACAUUUACACCAAAAUAACAUAUUGCAACAAAUUGCAUAAAAAGGCUGAUAUGAGAAUCAGUUUCAGUCCUACUAAACCAGUCGAAAGGAGAUCUGUAGAAAGGUAAAACAUUAAUCCUCUAAUAUUUUUGUUUUGUAAAGAUAGUUUCUUUCAUUUAAAUGUGUUAGUUGUGUUAAUAUAUGAUGAAGUUAUUGUUAUUUUGAAUGACUCUUUUUUUCUUUUUGGUGCCGUGCUGCACAGCUUGCAGGAUCCUAGCUCCCGGACCAGGGAUCGAACCCAGGCCCUCGGUAGUGAAAGUGCACAGGCCUGACCACUGGACUGCCAGGGAAUUCCCUAAAUGAAUAUUUUUAAAUUGUCUCCAUUUUUAUUUCUAAUAUCAACAGAUAUAACUCAUAUAAACAAAAGCUCUUUUGUGGUCCUCAGAAAUUUUUUGAUGUGUGAAAGGAUCUUCAGACCAAAACCUUUGAGAAAUGCCAUACAAAAUCAUUAAAAUUCCAGUGCUUCUGUUCAUGCUUCUAGUGGUACAAACAGUUCACAGAUAGGUCAUGCACUCUCAUUCCAGAAUCUUCCUUAUAACUAGGAGUUUCUGCAGUGUCUUUCAACAUUGCUUCUCCUUUAGAGAAAUUGGUUGUUUGAGUUUUUAUUAGGUUUUUCUCAGUCUUGAAAAAGUUUAAGCUCUCCUUACUUCAGCCCACUAUUCUUUAUCAUAAGGAAGAAUAUCAAGCAUAUUAUUGUUAAAAGAGAGAAAAGCAAAGCCAAAGCAAUGGAACUUUUCAAUUUAAUUAUAAAAAGAAGUAGUGGCCAGUAUUUAUGUGCACUUACUAUGUGUCAGGCUCUGUGCUAAGUGCUUUGUAUUUAUCUUCUCAUUUAAUCCUAUCAACAGUGCCUAAAAAUCGGUUGACCAUAGUCCUCAGUUUCCCUGGGGUGGUCCUGGUUUAUGCCAUUUGUUCAAGCAUAAUUAUUAAUAAUAUCCCCCUGCCAGCACAUAAGUUUCCCAGUUUGGACAUAAAUUAUAUGAUCACCCUCCCUGUAAAAAUUACUGUCCACAGUUUACAAAUUAGGAAACUUGAGGCAUAGAGAGAUUGAGUGUCUUGCCCAAAGUACACUGCUAGUAAAUGUGGGUGUGGGAUCCUAACCCAGGUCUGUCGAGCUUUGUAGUUAAGCCUUUUAAAGAAUUACAAACUGUUUCACAGUGAUAUCAAUGCUCCUGAGAUUUACGUUGACCCCAACUAUAGUAAUAUAUUCCAGAAUAAAAGAAAGUAGAACACAAAAAUUUAUGAUAAAAUUUUAAGUUCAAUUUCAGUUGUAAAACACUGAUGUGAUAGAUGUGCUAUUCCGACACUCAUCUUUUACACAGUUCAGAGGUGCACACUUGCUAUCAACACUUUGUAGAAAACCAGUGCUGCUUCUGUGUUGGGGCUUGCGUGGGAGUGCAGUUCUUGCUGGUUCAGUAAAGCUGAAGGAUGCCUAUUUACAAAACAGGAAAGGUGGACCAAACUGUUAGAGGCCUUCCUAAUUAGGGAUUCUCCCUGAUCAUAAGUAACAGAACUGGAGUUUCGUUGGGUGUAUAAAUGUGCCUAGCUUAAAACUACAUCUCCCAGCACGUCCUGCAGAUGAAGGAGCUGACCAUGCUAUGCAGUCCUGGCCAACAAAAUGUAAGUAGAAGUUGUUGGAUGAGGCUUCUGGGAAUGCUUUCUUAAAAUGGAAGGCCAAUUUAGCUGACCUUGCCUUUUACUUUUCUUUACAUCUGGAACUCAAAUGCAAUACUGGAGUUUGAGCAGCCAUCUUGUGACUACAAAGGAACAAGCACAUGUUAAAGAUGGCUAGGUGAAGGGAAGAGAGAAGGACCUGGCUCUCUGAGGACAUUGUGGAUCUACCAAAUCAACCCUGGACUGAAAAAGACAUAUAAAACUGGCACCCAGGCACCAGGCUUGUGUAUACUGAGGCUUCUGCUUAAAACCCUUCAGUUGCCCCCAGCUGCUUCUAGGAGAAAGUGCUGAUGCCAGCAGGGGGCUUACAUCACUCUGCAUAAUCCGAGUCCCACUUAUGGCUCCAGACUCCUCUUUCUCUCUCUGCUCAAACUCUGCACUUCAGUCAUCUGGAACUUCUUUUCAGUUCGUUGAAGGUCCUGUUCGUCUCUCAACGCUGGGCCGUCACACGGGCUGCUCCCUCUGUGUGGAAUACGCAACCCACCUCCUACCUCCCCACUAAGGUGUAAUUUUUACAUAUUCGAAUGUCAAAUUUAGGUACUACUUGAAGCUUUCUCCAACCGCCCCCACCACUACCAUCACUAAGGUUGGAUUAAGUGUUCCUCUUUUGUGUUCCUGAUGAAUAAUGUCCUUCCCCAUCAAGCAUGUACUGCAGUCUUCUCUUUCCUUGUCUGUUUCCUCCAAUAGACUGUAGGUUGCAACUCAACAGAAAGUGUCUACUCACCAUCAUAUUAAGCCUCACCCAAUGUAUGGUACCUGGUAGUUUCUGAAUGAAUAAUGAGAGAAUUAAUGAAUGGAUUGAUCUUGCUGAUUCAUCAAUUAAAGGACUUCUGUUGAAAGUAACAGCUACAUUAACAAUCUUAAAGGAAUUUAUUGGAAGGAUAUAAAGGGCUCAUGAAUUGACAGGAAGUUGUAAUACCAGGCUGGAAAAAUAGGUAAAGACCCAGGUAACUCAAGCAGCCAAGAAGCUGGAAAAUGUUAGCAGGAAUAGCCCAAUAGCCUGGGAAGGACGAAGUUACCUUUGUUGUAGGGCAUUGCUGCUGCCUCUUUGGGAUUCCACCUCAACUGCCCUUGGAGAUAAUCUCCCCAGUGCUGGGAAUUAAAUUUCAUUGCCCCAAGGAAACCAUAAACAAGACAAAAAGACAACCCUCAGAAUGGGAGAAAAUAUUUGCAAAUGAAGCAACUGACAAAGGAGUAAUCUCCAGAAUUUACAAGCAGCUCAUGCAGCUCAAUAUCAAAAAAACAACCCAAUCCAAAAAUGGGCAGAAGACCUAGACAUUUCUCCAAAGAAGGUAUACAGAUUGCCAACAAACACAUGAAAGGAUGCUCAACAUCACUAAUCAUUAGAGAAAUGCAAAUCAAAACUAUGAUGAGGUAUCACCUGACACCAGUCAGAAUGGCCAUCAUCAAAAAAUCUACAAACAAUAAAUG